rnacentral:lncRNA from 1 species
CAAAAUACCCCCGUGAGACAUAAAUCAAUUUUUUUUAUUGUUUUAAGUUGAAAAUAGCUUAAAAUCCUUUAGAACAUGAUAUUUGGCAACGGUUACUCACAGGGAAAAUGAGAAACUGAUAUUAAAGCCUUGCAGGAUUUCGGUUGGCAUUUCGGGUAAUAAGUGUCUAUCGGGACACCGCGGCGGUUGUCACGGGCUCGAGGGGAGUACCGGGUCUUGACACGUGGGCCCAUGAACGACCAAAGGUAUCAAAAGCGGUAAACCUACAGUUUUUGAGGAUGCAAGUCCAACUGUAGCCCUCAACAAAGUGAGCUAUCUACCGACUAUCUUGAGCCUGAAAUGGGUAGAAAUGAGGGUGGUGAGAUUAUAUAAUCCCAGUGAGUAAACAAAUACCAUCUAAAAUAUCUAAAGCUGAGUAAAUGGAGACAGAUUAAAAUAGAUCAUCAUAUUGUAAUUUAUCACCUUUCAACUCAUUUCAACCAAAUAAAAUCAAUUCAUAUUAAUCGAGUAAUCAACAUGGGUUAUGAAUUUCUUAAAACUUUGGCUCGUGCCAAAAUCAUUCUCAUACUCAGUUAUCAUGGAUACCUUGGCCUGGGGCUAUCCCAACCGAGUCCGCCAAGGCUGUUAAAUAAUUUUGUAUACACAUAAAAAUAUUUUUAUUUUGAAAACAUAGCCGUUCCUUGGCGUUGGCUGAGUUCACCCUCACGUGGUGGUUUGGCAUGAAGUGAACUUUAAAAGUGUACCUCAGGAGUUACCCUACACGCCUCUCCGACCAAGGUAAGAAUAUAACAGGGUUAUCGUGCCCCUCUAAUAAGCCGGUCCACGGAACUCGCCCACUGCAACAAGCUAAACCCACCAAUUCAAUAAAAUCUUAACCGCAUGACAUGGCAAUUAUAUCACAAUCCAGCCUCUCAAGGCUAAAUACACAAUUCAUAUAUUUUCAGCACAUUUACCAAUUUAGCCAUUCAUGCAAAUAUUGUCAUAAGCCAUUCGAUUCAAACCAUGAAUUUACAACACAUGAAAACAGUCUCCAAUUACUCUAUUUUCAAAACCAUCAUUCAAUCUCAAGACAAUUUUAUAAAAUUAUUUUCAUUUAAUCUCAUUUUGCUUAUAAAACAUAAAGAUUUACCAUUUAAACUCAUUUUUCAUAAAAUCACAAAAUCGGAUGAAACCACUUUAGAUAAUUAAAAGCUAGUAAGGUUACUCACUAUUUCGGGAGUCGAAUUCCGAGUACUUCGAUUCUUGAUCCUCGGGUACUAUCUCUUUACUUUUGCCAAAAUGCUCA